AGAUCUGAAGCAGGAUGGUUGAGAGAGGGAUCACGCUUGUGUGUAUUUGAAAAGACAAUAACUAAUAACUAUCCUUCCAUUCUGGGAAGACCACAAGAAGUCAAGAGCAAGUCAGAUCAGGAUGCUGGUGGCAACGAGCCAGGCUGGAGGUGGAGAAACGGGCGUGGCUAAUAGGGAGGCCAGUGUGAGGCCCUAAGUCUCCCUGCUUGGGUGUCUGUUAGUCCCUCUACCACAUCCUGGGAGCAAGUCGCUUAACACCUCGGGUCUAAGUGCCUUCAUCUCUAGAAUGGGGAUAUUAACAACCCAUCCCACGGGUGGUCAUGAGAAUUAGGUGCCUUGGCGUACAAAAAAAUAAGUGAAGUGCUACAUGGUAAGUGCUCAAUAAACACCAACUGCUAUCUCUACUCAGAUUUAUCUGCUGUGUUUAUUUUAAAAUUCAUUAAUAGUAGUAGUCUUCUUUGAUAGACUUUUGUCAGAUCAGUUUUGCAAUGGCUGCCAGGCACAUGUGACGGCAUUGCUUUGACCACUCCUCAGUUCAAAGAGAGACCAAGAGGCAGAAAGAAUAGCAAAGGUCCCAGAUUUGCUUCCCGUGGAGAGCAGCUGAACAGAUCAUGGAAGAGCCCAGACUACACCCUGCUCUUCGCUCCCAAGGCCUCAGCCCUGACCAUUCCUGGUACUCAGGAACUCAGCAAGAGAAGCUGACUACCUUUGAGACAUGCUUCUGCUAGGACACUAGCCCUGCUCCUGGAUCCUGGGGCUCAGGACCUCCAUUACCUGCUGGAAAUACUUGUCUCCAUUGAUGUACUCCUUGUCAUGGGAGUCUUGAAGCCUGUUGGUCUUCACAUACUGCCACAGCGCCUGGACGAUGGCUGAGCGGCUCUGGGACACCUGGAGAGACCUGGGGCAGGACGUACGUCAUCCAAGAGCUUCCCCUCUACUCGCAGCUCCCAGGAGGCAAUGCUGCCAUCAGAAUCUUCGGCAUCGGGCUUCGCCGGGUUAAAGGAAAAUCCCUGCAUCUCAUCACCAGGGAAGGAGGCAGCAGCCGGCAGCCCAGCAGGUGCAAGUGCCUGGCCUCAUGGUAUCACCUUAAUCACACAGGUACCGUGGGUCCCGGCAAAGUGCUAAGGCACUGUGGGUACCCGGGAUAGUGUCGGUUACCUCGGAACCCCCACACCUGCCGGCCCUUUCUCAUGUCCAGGAUCUUCUGCUACUUCCUGUGCCCUUGAUCUAGCAGUCUCUUAUCCCUUCUUUGUCCCGUGCCUUUAGGCCUUUGGACCACUGGCAUUCAACCCCCUUAACCUCAAGCCCCAUGUUCUGCCCCUCCUCCUUCCAUGGCUCUCCAGCUCCUUUCCCUCAGUCCAGCCCCGCCCGCCCGCCUGACUGCCCGCCCGCCUGCCCGCCCGCACAGGGAGCCUCACUUCUUAAUGAGCUUUUAAAACAAAAAGUGAAAGUGGCUGUGACGCUGAGCCCAAAGCAUUGCUCCUGAGGGAGGCGGGGAGGGCGGAGCAGCAAAGGAUGGGGCUGGCUGGGGGCUGCUGUGAAAGGCACUCACCCUUUGAGGGAGGAUUUUGUCAGCCAUCUUCCUCCUCUUGGCACUGUACAUUUUUAAAAGAAAAAACCAGGUUACCAUGGCGACAGAUCUGGGAGUAACGAGGCCACCUGCUAAAUUAUCCCGACAUCUCCGCCCGCCUGGCUGGGGUUCCCACAGCCUGCUUGUCUGCCUGUCUGAGGGCUACAGCAGUGAUGUGGAGCUGGUUCGUCCCUUGGAAAGCAGAAUGACUGAUUCUUUCUCUGGCCCUGGCACCACAACCGGCAACCUUAUACUUCAUCGGAGCCAGGGAAAUUCAGACUUAGGAGGGACUAGUGAAAGAGAAGAUGCUGCCAAAAGAUGGGACUGCAGAAGGGUUUGCAAAAAGCUGGGAGGCGGAGAAGACAGAGUAGAGAGAAGACAGCUUCUGAGGACCCUCUCCUCCUGCCAAGCAGAAGGCACAUGCCCAAGAGAGCCUGAGCUCCAAGAAGGGAAGAGAUGACUUUUCCACCUGGUUCCUGGAGCCCUCGUGGUGUGAACUGGUGGGACUUGGCUCUCCUGCUACUCUGGGCUUGGAAGGGACUGUCUUGGAAGGGAGAUGCUUGUGGUCUUGGACCAUCUGCUAACCAAGGGACACACCACAGUCACAAGGACCCUGGACGUGUGCGGGAGUGUUCUAUGUGACCCAACACUGGAACCGCCAAGGGUAGAUAGUACCUGGAAUCUGGAUGCUUCUCGGUUUCAAAUGCAACCCAGAAAACCCUUGGCUGUCCAAGAGACUACACAUCCAGCCUAGAGGAUGGCUCUAUACUGCCCCCCUGUGGCGUUCUCACUCACUGCCCCCUCCCUAUCCAGAAAUCCAUUCUACGGCCAGGCAAGCAACUCAUUAAAGAAAAACCAACCCAUUCUUAGUCUGGGUGAGCCUCUCGUGAAAGGAUUGAUUUAUUUCAGAUAAAUUAUCCAUACAAAACUCUUAACUUGUAAACACACACACACACACACACACACACAAACAAAAAACAAAAAACAAGGAAUUACUCGCUAUACAAGGUAAUGAUUCACUUUGUAAGAGAAUUUAUGGGAUGCCUAUGAUUUUUCUUGAUGUGUAAAAACUGUGUAAUAAUGAGGUAAAAUUGAUAUUGCACCUUGCAUAAGAACCCAUCUGUUGUGCAAAA